AGGCGAGUAGCUCAAUUGGCUAGAGCAUCGGUCUCCAAAACCGGAGGUUGCAGGUUCAACUCCUGCCUCGCCUG
rnacentral:tRNA from 1 species